ACACAGAAAGGGGCAUUGUCAUGAAUUGGACCUGUUUACAACUUGUUAACUCUUUAAUCCCUCAGGGGUUAAAAAACCACUCUGUUAUGGACUGGACAUGUAAACAUCUUGUUAAACCCACACCCCUUUGAGACAGAUAUCUCACACCAUUAUGGAUUGGACAUGUAUACAAUUAGUUAACUAUUGUAUAUAGUUCAAUCACAAAUCUACAGGGGUCCAUUUAUUCUCGCUGAAUGAGAGGAAUUUUUGGUCUUGUUUAUUACAUUAUCCCUAUAAUUCUACUAUCUAAAGGCAAUGGAUGACUUAUCUACAGUCUUGUUGAAUGCUUUUUACUUUUGGAUUCCUUUAUUUAAAGCAGGCAAAUCUAUGUUUCUGGUAUUGCUUAGGAUCAAAACAAUUUGCUAUAAUUUUCCUCUUAGAUAUAAAUUCCUGUUACAGAUGAAAACAAGAUAGCAUUUAUUCCUUACCACAAAUAUCUAAAAUGGACUUAUCCAUCUCUCAAUCUGGACAAAACCAUUCAUCAUUUAUAGGGUGAAUUAUGUUAAAUUUAAAUUCAGCCCUAGGCUAAUUUUAUCUGUUAUUUAUUGACAAAAUAUAAAGGAUUAUUUUCUGUAAAGUUGAAUGUGUCAUAAAAGGAGCAAAAUAAACACAAGAAAAACAAAGUAGUGGUUUGACUUCCAUACAAAAUACUAAAACUAAUUGCCAAAAGCAACAGAAGAAAAAUGUUGUCAAAACUAACAAUGUGCAACUAUUUAGAAACUGUAACAGUAAACCAAAAAUAAAAACUUUAGAGAAGUAAAAAUUAGAGCAUAUUAAGAGCAUAAUAGAAAGGGUAUUUCAUUCAACAUAGUUAUGUUAGUCUUCGAGACAAAAUACGUAGUAUGAUUUUUUUUUAAUUAAUUCAAAUAAAGGAAAGCGAUUACUGCAAUAAAAAAAAGUUGAAUUAUAGUUCAAUUUACACUCUUAAAAGUAAGAGACAUGCUUUGUUUUAAGUUGACACAGUUAACAGCUGUAUUAGUAGUGUAAUUAAUUAUUGUUGUUUUUUCUCACACAGGCUCGGUGAAGUAUUCUCCCAUGUAGCUGUGUGACAGGUCCGAGUUUUAUCAGGGUUAUUCUGUGUUUGUUUUACUGAUAGUCACAGUGUGAAGAGGCGAUUAAGAGAGUUGUACAGGUGUUGGUUAUAAUUGUGGACAGUGUCAUACACUGGUCACCUUGUAAUUCAACUUGUAACUCACCUUGUAACUUAUGUUUGGAGAUUGGAGAAGAGUAGUUUACCAAGUGGAAUGGAUUUUGGUGUAAAAUUUAUGUGAUGUACUCAUAUCAGGUGUUAUUAUAAAU